rnacentral:rRNA from 1 species
CCUACGGGAGGCAGCAGUGGGGAAUAUUGGACAAUGGGGGAAACCCUGAUCCAGCGACGCCGCGUGAGUGAAGAAGUAUUUCGGUACGUAAAGCUCUAUCAGCAGGAAAGAAAAUGACGGUACUUGACUAAGAAGCACCGGCUAACUACGUGCCACCAGCCGCGGGAAUACGUAGGUGGCAAGCGUUAUCCGGAUUUACUGGGUGUAAAGGGAGCGUAGACGGCAGCUCAAGUAUGGAGUGAAAUGCCGGGGCCCAACCCCGGAACUGCUCUGGAAACUGUGAAGCUGGAGUGCAGGAGAGGUAAGCGGAAUUCCUGGUGUAGCGGUGGAAUGCGUAGAUAUCAGGAGGAACACCGGCGGCGAAGGCGGCUUACUGGACUGUAACUGACGUUGAGGCUCGAAAGCGUGGGGAGCAAACAGGAUUAGAUACCCCAGUAGUC